CUUGCUUCUAUGACGUUAGCGGCGGACGGGUGAGUAACACGUGGGCAACCUGCCUGUAAGACUGGGAUAACUCCGGGAAACCGGAGCUAAUACCGGAUAACAUUUUUUCUUGCAUAAGAGAAAAUUGAAAGAUGGUUUCGGCUAUCACUUACAGAUGGGCCCGCGGUGCAUUAGCUAGUUGGUGAGGUAACGGCUCACCAAGGCAACGAUGCAUAGCCGACCUGAGAGGGUGAUCGGCCACACUGGGACUGAGACACGGCCCAGACUCCUACGGGAGGCAGCAGUAGGGAAUCUUCCGCAAUGGACGAAAGUCUGACGGAGCAACGCCGCGUGAGUGAUGAAGGCUUUCGGGUCGUAAAACUCUGUUGUUAGGGAAGAACAAGUACAAGAGUAACUGCUUGUACCUUGACGGUACCUAACCAGAAAGCCACGGCUAACUACGUGCCAGCAGCCGCGGUAAUACGUAGGUGGCAAGCGUUAUCCGGAAUUAUUGGGCGUAAAGCGCGCGCAGGCGGUUUCUUAAGUCUGAUGUGAAAGCCCACGGCUCAACCCGUGGAGGGUCAUUGGAAACUGGGGGAAACUUGAGUGCAGAAGAGAAAAGCGGAAUUUCCACGUGUAGCGGUGAAAUGCGUAGAGAUGUGGAGGAACACCAGUGGGCGAAAGGCGGCUUUUUUGGUCUGUAACUGACGCUGAGGCGCGAAAGCGUGGGGG
rnacentral:rRNA from 2 species